rnacentral:rRNA from 1 species
GACGAACCGUGCAAACGUUGUUCGGAUUCACUGGGCUUAAAGGGCGCGUAGGCGGACCCAAAAGUCCGGGGUGAAAUCUUUCGGCUUAACCGGAAAAUUGCCUUGGAUACUGUGGGUCUCGAGGGAGGUAGGGGCAUGCGGAACUUCCGGUGGAGCGGUGAAAUGCGUUGAUAUCGGAAGGAACUCCGGUGGCGAAAGCGGCGUGCUGGAUCUCUACUGACGCUGAGGCGCGAAAGCCAGGGGAGCAAACGGG